rnacentral:rRNA from 1 species
GAUGAACGCUGGCGGUAUGCUUAACACAUGCAAGUCGAACGGACUCUUCGGAGUUAGUGGCGGACGGGUGAGUAACGCGUGAGAAUCAGGAUUUGGGUUCGGGACAACCACUGGAAACGGUGGCUAAUAAAGGAUGUGCCGAGAGGGAAAAGAGAAAUUGACUGAAGAUGAGCUCGCGUAUGAUUAGCUAGUUGGUGAGGUAAAGGCUCACCAAGGCAGCGAUCAGUAGCCGGCCUGAGAGGAUGACCAGCCACACUGGGACUGAGACACGGCCCAGACUCCUUCGGGAGGCCGCAGUAGGGACUCUUCCGCAAUGGACGACAGUCUGACGGAGCAACGCCGCGUGAGCGACGAAGGCCUUCGGGUCGUAAAGCUCUGUUGUUAGGGAAGAACAAGUAUCGUUCGAAUAGGGCGGUACCUUGACGGUACCUAACCAGAAAGCCACGGCUAACUACGUG